GAUGAACGCUGGCGGCGUGCCUAAUACAUGCAAGUCGAGCGAACAGAUGAGGAGCUUGCUCCUCUGACGUUAGCGGCGGACGGGUGAGUAACACGUGGAUAACCUACCUAUAAGACUGGGAUUACUUCGGGAAACCGGAGCUAAUACCGGAUAAUAUAUUGAACCGCAUGGUUCAAUAGUGAAAGACGGUUUUGCUGUCACUUAUAGAUGGAUCCGCGCCGCAUUAGCUAGUUGGUAAGGUAACGGCUUACCAAGGCAACGAUGCGUAGCCGACCUGAGAGGGUGAUCGGCCACACUGGAACUGAGACACGGUCCAGACUCCUACGGGAGGCAGCAGUAGGGAAUCUUCCGCAAUGGGCGAAAGCCUGACGGAGCAACGCCGCGUGAGUGAUGAAGGUCUUCGGAUCGUAAAACUCUGUUAUUAGGGAAGAACAAAUGUGUAAGUAACUAUGCACGUCUUGACGGUACCUAAUCAGAAAGCCACGGCUAACUACGUG
rnacentral:rRNA from 1 species